CGCCAGCAAGAGAUUGCUGGUGAUAACCAAAAUCAUAAACAAAUUCCUCUUUGACGGGCCAAUAUUAUUAUUGGCCUUCUUUUU
rnacentral:sRNA from 1 species